rnacentral:rRNA from 1 species
GGCGUGCUUAACACAUGCAAGUCGAACGGAAAGGCCCUGCUUUUGUGGGGUGCUCGAGUGGCGAACGGGUGAGUAACACGUGAGUAACCUGCCCUUGACUUUGGGAUAACUUCAGGAAACUGGGGCUAAUACCGGAUAGGAGCUCCUGCUGCAUGGUGGGGGUUGGAAAGUUUCGGCGGUUGGGGAUGGACUCGCGGCUUAUCAGCUUGUUGGUGGGGUAGUGGCUUACCAAGGCUUUGACGGGUAGCCGGCCUGAGAGGGUGACCGGCCACAUUGGGACUGAGAUACGGCCCAGACUCCUACGGGAGGCAGCAGUGGGGAAUAUUGCACAAUGGGCGGAAGCCUGAUGCAGCAACGCCGCGUGCGGGAUGACGGCCUUCGGGUUGUAAACCGCUUUCGCCUGUGACGAAGCGUGAGUGACGGUAAUGGGUAAAGAAGCACCGGCUAACUACGUGCCAGCAGCCGCGGUGAUACGUAGGGUGCGAGCGUUGUCCGGAUUUAUUGGGCGUAAAGGGCUCGUAGGUGGUUGAUCGCGUCGGAAGUGUAAUCUUGGGGCUUAACCCUGAGCGUGCUUUCGAUACGGGUUGACUUGAGGAAGGUAGGGGAGAAUGGAAUUCCUGGUGGAGCGGUGGAAUGCGCAGAUAUCAGGAGGAACACCAGUGGCGAAGGCGGUUCUCUGGGCCUUUCCUGACGCUGAGGAGCGAAAGCGUGGGGAGCGAACAGGCUUAGAUACCCUGGUAGUCCACGCUGUAAACGGUGGGUACUAGGUGUGGGGUCCAUUCCACGGGUUCCGUGCCGUAGCUAACGCUUUAAGUACCCCGCCUGGGGAGUACGGCCGCAAGGCUAAAACUCAAAGGAAUUGACGGGGCCCCGCACAAGCGGCGGAGCAUGCGGAUUAAUUCGAUGCAACGCGUAGAACCUUACCUGGGUUUGACAUGGAUCGGGAGUGCUCAGAGAUGGGUGUGCCUCUUUUGGGGUCGGUUCACAGGUGGUGCAUGGCUGUCGUCAGCUCGUGUCGUGAGAUGUUGGGUUAAGUCCCGCAACGAGCGCAACCCUUGUUCACUGUUGCCAGCACGUUAUGGUGGGGACUCAGUGGAGACCGCCGGGGUCAACUCGGAGGAAGGUGGGGAUGACGUCAAGUCAUCAUGCCCCUUAUGUCCAGGGCUUCACGCAUGCUACAAUGGCUGGUACAGAGAGUGGCGAGCCUGUGAGGGUGAGCGAAUCUCGGAAAGCCGGUCUCAGUUCGGAUUGGGGUCUGCAACUCGACCUCAUGAAGUCGGAGUCGCUAGUAAUCGCAGAUCAGCAACGCUGCGGUGAAUACGUUCCCGGGGCUUGUACACACCGCCCGUCAAGUCAUGAAAGUUGGUAACACCCGAAGCCGGUGGCCUAACCGUUGUGGGGGAGCCGUCGAAGGUGGGACUGGUGAUUAGGACUAAGUCAUAA